rnacentral:sRNA from 1 species
AUGGACGUCGCGCAGGAAGCGCCCAGUAGAAUACGGACACGUAGGGAACCCGCCACAGGACGGUGGGAGGAAAUGGAUGUCAGGGAUACAGUCUGCGAAACCCCGCCUCGGCGGGGUUUU